rnacentral:lncRNA from 1 species
CGAUUUAUUUCACUUGACUGGGCGGAGUUUAACCGAUUCGCUCACAAUAAACCAGUCCAUCUAUAGAUAGGUGUUUUAGGAUAAACUCAUUAAUAAAGUCCAGUCAUUGUUUUGUAAAUUUCUUUGAUGACAGUGAAAGGUGAUUAGAAAUCACUAAUAAUUAUAACGGCAAUCAUUCUUAUCACACACAUCUUCAAAUAGACUGUCC